GGGGGCCCGCAAGCGGUGGAGCAUGUGGUUUAAUUCGACGCAACGCGAAGAACCUUACCUGGGCUCGAAAUGUAGUGGAAUCCGGCAGAAACGUCGGCGUCUAGCAAUAGACCGCUAUAUAGGUGCUGCAUGGCUGUCGUCAGCUCGUGUCGUGAGAUGUUGGGUUAAGUCCCGCAACGAGCGCAACCCUUAUCUUCAGUUGCUACCAUUUAGUUGAGCACUCUGACGAAACCGCCUCGGAUAACGGGGAGGAAGGUGGGGAUGACGUCAAGUCCUCAUGGCCUUUAUGUCCAGGGCUACACACGUGCUACAAUGGCCGGUACAAACCGCUGCAAACCCGCGAGGGGGAGCUAAUCGGAAAAAGCCGGCCUCAGUUCGGAUUGGAGUCUGCAACUCGACUCCAUGAAGCUGGAAUCGCUAGUAAUCGUGGAUCAGCAUGCCACGGUGAAUACGUUCCCGGGGCCUUGUACACACC
rnacentral:rRNA from 1 species